CAGUCGCCACGGUAAUACGUAGGGUGCAAGCGUUAAUCGGAAUUACUGGGCGUAAAGCGUGCGCAGGCGGUUCGCUAAGACAGAUGUGAAAUCCCCGGGCUUAACCUGGGAACUGCAUUUGUGACUGGCGGGCUAGAGUAUGGCAGAGGGGGGUAGAAUUCCACGUGUAGCAGUGAAAUGCGUAGAGAUGUGGUGGAAUACCGAUGGCGAAGGCAGCCCCCUGGGCCAAUACUGACGCUCAUGCACGAAAGCGUGGGGAGCAGACAGGAUUAGAUACCCCUGUAGUCCCUGUCUCUUAUAC
rnacentral:rRNA from 1 species